CCACCACCAAAGCAUUCUCUGGUGUUGAAGGCCCUGCAAAGCAGCAUCGCGGUGGCGGAGCGUCGUUUGCGACGCCCAACACACAAAACAAGCGGUGAGUGCUUUGGGGUGGGGUGACUGCGUACCUUUUGUAUAAUGGGUCAGCGACUUAUAUUCUGUAGCAAGGUUAACCGUAUAGGGGAGCCGUAGGGAAACCGAGUCUUAACCGGGCGUUAAGUUGCAGGGUAUAGACCCGAAACCCGGUGAUCUAGCCAUGGGCAGGUUGAAGGUUGGGUAACACUAACUGGAGGACCGAACCGACUAAUGUUGAAAAAUUAGCGGAUGACCUGUGGCUGGGGGUGAAAGGCCAAUCAAACCGGGAGAUAGCUGGUUCUCCCCGAAAGCUAUUUAGGUAGCGCCUCGUGAAUUCAUCUCCGGGGGUAGAGCACUGUUUCGGCUAGGGGGCCAUCCCGGCUUACCAACCCGAUGCAAACUGCGAAUACCGGAGAAUGUUAUCACGGGAGACACACGGCGGGUGCUAACGUCCGUCGUGAAGAGGGAAACAACCCAGACCGCCAGCUAAGGUCCCAAAGUCAUGGUUAAGUGGGAAACGAUGUGGGAAGGCCCAGACAGCCAGGAUGUUGGCUUAGAAGCAGCCAUCAUUUAAAGAAAGCGUAAUAGCUCACUGGUCGAGUCGGCCUGCGCGGAAGAUGUAACGGGGCUAAACCAUGCACCGAAGCUGCGGCAGCGACGCUGAUGCGUUGUUGGGUAGGGGAGCGUUCUGUAAGCCUGUGAAGGUGGCCUGUGAGGGUUGCUGGAGGUAUCAGAAGUGCGAAUGCUGACAUAAGUAACGAUAAAGCGGGUGAAAAGCCCGCUCGCCGGAAGACCAAGGGUUCCUGUCCAACGUUAAUCGGGGCAGGGUGAGUCGACCCCUAAGGCGAGGCCGAAAGGCGUAGUCGAUGGGAAACGGGUUAAUAUUCCCGUACUUGGUGUUACUGCGAAGGGGGGACGGAGAAGGCUAUGUUGGCCGGGCGACGGUUGUCCCGGUUUAAGCGUGUAGGUGUGUGUUCCAGGUAAAUCCGGUUCACUUUAACACUGAGGCGUGAUGACGAGGCACUACGGUGCUGAAGCAACAAAUGCCCUGCUUCCAGGAAAAGCCUCUAAGCAUCAGGUAACAUCAAAUCGUACCCCAAACCGACACAGGUGGUCAGGUAGAGAAUACCAAGGCGCUUGAGAGAACUCGGGUGAAGGAACUAGGCAAAAUGGUGCCGUAACUUCGGGAGAAGGCACGCUGACACGUAGGUGAAGUGAUUUACUCAUGGAGCUGAAGUCAGUCGAAGAUACCAGCUGGCUGCAACUGUUUAUUAAAAACACAGCACUGUGCAAACACGAAAGUGGACGUAUACGGUGUGACGCCUGCCCGGUGCCGGAAGGUUAAUUGAUGGGGUCAGCGCAAGCGAAGCUCCUGAUCGAAGCCCCGGUAAACGGCGGCCGUAACUAUAACGGUCCUAAGGUAGCGAAAUUCCUUGUCGGGUAAGUUCCGACCUGCACGAAUGGCGUAAUGAUGGCCAGGCUGUCUCCACCCGAGACUCAGUGAAAUUGAACUCGCUGUGAAGAUGCAGUGUACCCGCGGCAAGACGGAAAGACCCCGUGAACCUUUACUAUAGCUUGACACUGAACAUUGAGCCUUGAUGUGUAGGAUAGGUGGGAGGCUUUGAAGCGUGGACGCCAGUCUGCAUGGAGCCGGCCUUGAAAUACCACCCUUUAAUGUUUGAUGUUCUAACGUGGACCCGUGAUCCGGGUUGCGGACAGUGUCUGGUGGGUAGUUUGACUGGGGCGGUCUCCUCCUAAAGAGUAACGGAGGAGCACGAAGGUUGGCUAAUCCUGGUCGGACAUCAGGAGGUUAGUGCAAUGGCAUAAGCCAGCUUGACUGCGAGCGUGACGGCGCGAGCAGGUGCGAAAGCAGGUCAUAGUGAUCCGGUGGUUCUGAAUGGAAGGGCCAUCGCUCAACGGAUAAAAGGUACUCCGGGGAUAACAGGCUGAUACCGCCCAAGAGUUCAUAUCGACGGCGGUGUUUGGCACCUCGAUGUCGGCUCAUCACAUCCUGGGGCUGAAGUAGGUCCCAAGGGUAUGGCUGUUCGCCAUUUAAAGUGGUACGCGAGCUGGGUUUAGAACGUCGUGAGACAGUUCGGUCCCUAUCUGCCGUGGGCGCUGGAGAACUGAGGGGGGCUGCUCCUAGUACGAGAGGACCGGAGUGGACGCAUCACUGGUGUUCGGGUUGUCAUGCCAAUGGCACUGCCCGGUAGCUAAAUGCGGAAGAGAUAAGUGCUGAAAGCAUCUAAGCACGAAACUUGCCCCGAGAUGAGUUCUCCCUGAGACUUAGAGUCUCCUGAAGGAACGUUGAAGACGACGACGUUGAUAGGCCGGGUGUGUAAGCGCAGCGAUGCGUUGAGCUAACCGGUACUAAUGAACCGUGAGGCUUAACCUUACAACGCCGAAG
rnacentral:rRNA from 1 species